AAAUGUGUUUCGUUUCCUGCUGUCUGCGUGCCAAGUGAAGGACGAGCUGACUGAAGUCAGCAGGGCUAUCCUAAUGCUUCAAAUCACGCUCCUUUCUGUAUCUACCAAUGCUGAUCAUAUCCUCUUACGUAUGUUUAUCUACAUGACUGUUUCUUCUCCACUGUAGGUCAACACUGAUACCUUGGGCACAUACUGAGUAUUUCUUUUGGGUUCUUGCCUACUGGUGCUGGAGCAGCCCAUCCGCCUGGGCUUUUCCAGAGGAUAAUGCUUUUGGUGAUGCUCCUAGCAGAGGUACUCUGUGAAGAUGAAGCCCUUAAGCCAACACCAGGAAAAGAUCACUUGUUUCUCCCACCCCAAUGAGGUGUUCCAAGUGCAGCGGAUGGGUCAAGCUCAGGCCAGUUGACAGCCUCCCUCUCACCUCAGGGACUGCUGCUCAGCAAAUUCUACAGACCAGCCUGUUUCACUCCACUAAUAGCAUUCACUGAAGGUGUUGAAGGGGGAAGCGACAGUCUCUGCCAUAAGUUUCCAUGCUCUUGUGGUGGUGUUUGAGCUCACAGCAACAGAAAGGAGCUGCCAGCGCUGGAGCCACUUGUUUCUCCUGUCCAGCCCAUAUCUGCAAAGUGGGUAGCACUGCAAGUAGUAGUAAGCAAGUAUGACAUGAUGCUUUGCUGUUCCUCAUUCCCUUUAGUGUGUGGAUACAACCCAGAGCACUGACUGAUGCCCUCAGGCAGGCGUUAACUUGGUAGACGCAUACACCUUGCUGCCAAGAAACCAUUUAUAAAUAGAUUUUAUUUAUAAAGUCAAUUUACAUAAAAUAUGAUACUCUUUUUAAAAACUGCAUAUGUACGACUUAAGAAAU
rnacentral:lncRNA from 1 species